GUUGGUUUCCAGUGAGAAUCAGCUUUCAGAUGGUCAGUAAUUUGCUUCAGUGACCCAGGAAAAUAUAUGGGGAAGCUGACUGCUGCCAUCUGUACUCUUCAGAUUGAGGACAGGACAAAAGAGAAAGGUGAUUGGGCUUCCUGCCUCAGUGUUUCCAGGAUGGACUGUUGUGAGUCUCAGAAAGAGUGAGGAAGACCCAUCCUUAAUGUGCACAGGCACCAUACCCAGCAGCUGUGGGCCCAGAUGGAACAAAAAGGCAGAAAAAAGAGCUCAUGAAGUCUGUCCUAGCUGACUGGAGAUAGCCUUCUGCCUGAGGGUGGAGGAGAAUUUAUUUUGAAGAAUGA